AACAAUGUUACAGCUUUCAAGCUCAGAAAUUGCUGGCACAUAUAUACUUUCAUAACCAGGGUAGGUAAGUUCCAACAUAAAAUGAUCACAUGGUAAUUUUUCAGAGAAAUGGAAAUGUAAAGGAGAAGGCCUGCCAGUUCCUACGAAUGAGAAAUGAUCUUCCACCAUCACUAAGCACACUUACGGUUAACAUCGCGAACAUCAGCUGACACACGUUGAAGCUCCAUGAACAUCCGGAGAGCAGCUGUGAUCAUGGCAUCAACGUCGAGAGAAAAGUCAUCAAAAUGAAUGUCAUCGAUGGCAAGUUCUGACACCAGAGGGAUGUUGGCUGCCUAGAAAAGCAAAAGACAUAAGUCAAGCCAAGUUCACCAGCUUUCCCAAACCCCCAUCCUGCUCUCCUCCCCUGCUUAUCAGAAGUGCCACAUAAAUCAGGCCUGACCUGCACUUACACCCUGA
rnacentral:lncRNA from 1 species